CAAAACGUAGCUUAGCCAUCUAAAGCAUCCGGCUUACACCCGGAAGACUUCGCACAUCAGAACGUUUUGA
rnacentral:tRNA from 1 species